rnacentral:rRNA from 1 species
ACGAGACCUUCGGGUCUAGUGGCGCACGGGUGCGUAACACGUGGGAACGCGCCCUUCGGUUCGGAAUAACUCACGGAAACUUGAGCUAAUACCGGAUACGCCCUUACGGGGAAAGAUUUAUUGCCGAAGGAACGGCCCGCGUCCGAUUAGCUAGUUGGUGAGGUAAUGGCUCACCAAGGCGACGAUCGGUAGCUGGUCUGAGAGGAUGACCACCAUCACUGGGACUGAGACACGGCCCACACUCCUACGGGAGGCAGCAGUGGGGAAUAUUGGACAAUGGGCGCAAGCCUGAUCCAGCCAUGCCGCGUGGAUGAUGAAGGCCCUAGGGUUGUAAAGUCCUUUUAACGGGGAAGAUAAUGACGGUACCCGUAGAAUAAGCCCCGGCUAACUUCGUGCCAGCAGCCGCGGUAAUAC